GGGUUUGAUCAUGGCUCAGAUUGAACGCUGGCGGCAGGCUUAACACAUGCAAGUCGAGCGGUAGCACAGGGGAGCUUGCUCCCCGGGUGACGAGCGGCGGACGGGUGAGUAAUGUCUGGGAAACUGCCUGAUGGAGGGGGAUAACUACUGGAAACGGUAGCUAAUACCGCAUAACGUCGCAAGACCAAAGAGGGGGACCUUCGGGCCUCUUGCCAUCAGAUGUGCCCAGAUGGGAUUAGCUAGUAGGUGGGGUAAUGGCUCACCUAGGCGACGAUCCCUAGCUGGUCUGAGAGGAUGACCAGCCACACUGGAACUGAGACACGGUCCAGACUCCUACGGGAGGCAGCAGUGGGGAAUAUUGCACAAUGGGCGCAAGCCUGAUGCAGCCAUGCCGCGUGUGUGAAGAAGGCCUUCGGGUUGUAAAGCACUUUCAGCGAGGAGGAAGGUGGUGAACUUAAUACGUUCAUCAAUUGACGUUACUCGCAGAAGAAGCACCGGCUAACUCCGUGCCAGCAGCCGCGGUAAUACGGAGGGUGCAAGCGUUAAUCGGAAUUACUGGGCGUAAAGCGCACGCAGGCGGUUUGUUAAGUCAGAUGUGAAAUCCCCGGGCUCAACCUGGGAACUGCAUUUGAAACUGGCAAGCUAGAGCCUCGUAGAGGGGGGUAGAAUUCCAGGUGUAGCGGUGAAAUGCGUAGAGAUCUGGAGGAAUACCGGUGGCGAAGGCGGCCCCCUGGACGAAGACUGACGCUCAGGUGCGAAAGCGUGGGGAGCAAACA
rnacentral:rRNA from 1 species